CUAAUGCUCUGUGUUAUUAGGCGUUGCAGAAUUUACAGACAUAUUAGUUACGUUUAUAGAAUAGAGUAAAACGUUUUAAAUGAAACAACGAUGUUUUUGUGUCCAUGAACAUCAACAAUACAUCGACACUAGUAUAAGGAUAAGGCAUUUAAAGAUGUUGGUGUAACGUGUAUGGUGUUCGCUGCAGCCGUGCAUAGUGGACUUCGUAUCCAAGUGUAUUCCUAAAAAUUAAAAUGUUUUAUGCCGAAGCCGUGGCGUGAAGCAAGUAUUCACAAUGUUCAAGCGACUGAAGGAAAGGAUAGAGGAAGUAAAGCAAACUCCUUUACGAUUUCCCCAGUUCCCAGCUCAGGCAGAAAGCGGAGACGAUUCCACCGCAGCGAAUGACCUCAUGCACUUUGGUGAGACCAAUGGGCCUGCCAUACAGCCGGAACCAAGCAGCACACAGGCUACGCACACAACACCUGAUCAGUUCAGCAUAACAGACGACGACGAUGCAUCAAGCUCUUCCAAUACUCCACAGAAGGACCGAUCUACCCAGGACUCUGCAUUUGAAGAGAUCUCAAUAUCCGAAGACCUGGAAAGACCAAGAACUCCGAGGGCCAGAAACUCGGACGCGGCCAUCCUGCCGGUAUACCACUCUCCCGAUCGGCCACAGUAUGUGCCGCAGUCGGACAUUGAAAGUGAAGUGGAAGACCCACAGCAUGGAAUUAACUUGGAAAGCGUCUCCAAGGAGCAGCUGUUUGCAGCCUUCCAGAAGACACGUGCUCGGGUGCAAAAGUACAAAACGAAAUACACAGAGGUGGUCAAGGCAUACAAGGAGUUGGACGGAGAGAAAGACAAGAUUAAGCGUAUACUAACGGACAGCCAGGACAAAGCCUUGCGGAGGAUUGAGGAGCUUCGAGAGCAGUCGCACUUGGAGCAAAAAGCUAAGGCGCAUCUAGAAGACAACCUGCGUUGCCUGCUUGAAGAGAAAGAAGAGAUGAUCAAAGUACUUCAUACAAAGGUCAGUCUCCUCAAGUCUGGUACCGGUCGAGACGUGGAAUCUAGUGAGACCAAUGAAGAACCCUCAAGAUCUCCCCCUGCUGGGGACGAAGAUAUAGGUGCCUACAAGGAAAAGGUGAAACGCCUCGAAAUUUUGCUUGCCAAAUGCAAGGACACCAUCAAGAGUGGUCGUGAGAGGACCACUCAACUGGUUGAAGAGAAGGAAAGCCUAACGAAAGCUCUUGAACAGAAAGUGAACGAGCUACAGCAAGUGCAGGAGAAAGAAGCGGAGGUACAGGCCGUCCUGCGCGGGAAGCUGCAGGACUUGCGGGAGGAGACAGCUCUGGCACGCGCUCAGCAAGAGGAGGCGAUGGCAGAGACGAAGCGCAACAUACACCACGAACUGGAGCUCAAGGAAAGGCAGCUGACCGAGGCGCAAGAGCAACUGCAGGAAGCACACGCUGCAACCGAAGCCCUUAAAGCGCAGCUGGAAGAGAACAAAGCCACACUUGAAAAGAAAGAGAAGGAGCACGAGGAGGCUCGACAUGGGUUAGAGCAGCAGCUGACUUCUCUGGAAAGGACACUCGAGGAGGAGCGUAAGAUAUCUCUUCAGGAGCUUUCCCGUGGAAAGGCAGCAGCCCUCAACCUCAUGAAGCAAGAAUGUGAGAAAAAGAUUCAGGCUGCAGAGCACAACUGGGUGCAAAGGCUGGAAGCUUCGGAAAAGGAGUACCACCGCAGGAUUUCAGAAAAGGAGAAUGAACUACACAAGGUAGCCAAGAAGCUUUCGGAACUCAAGUCAAUCACGGAGGAAUCCGAAGACUUGGCUGCUGAUGACAGGGAACAGCAGAACUCCACUCCAAAUUACGAAGUGCAAAGAGACAGCUUACUCAAGGACAUCGAACUCUACAAAAAUGUAAAGGAAAAGCUGGAACAGACUGUGAAGGAGCUGAAAGAAGAACUGCAGCAGAAAAAUGUUUGCUUUCAUGCUGAGAAGGAAGACCUGCUUCAAAAGCAUAAGACAGAAGUGGAACAGCUCAGACAAGAGCAUUUGAAUGCUCUGAAAGAAAGUCAAAGUGAACUGGAGAAGGUUUCAAUGCUGCAAGAGGAACUUAAAUACGUGAAGGAAAAGCAUGCCGAAGAAGUCGAAGAAAUGAAGAAGAAUUGGGAACACGCGUGCGACUCAAAUAUUACGUCCUUAAGGGAGCAGCAUGCUCUCGAACUGCAUUCACUUGAAAAGAAGUGGUCGGAGAAGCUAGCGUUCGAAACAAGUGAACUCGAAGCAAAGUUGGAGGAGUUAGCUCAGGCCCAUUCCGCAUUAGUGGAGAGCAGUGCCUCUCUUCAGUCUCAACUCGAUGAAAAGGACAGGCUUCAAAGUGAGGAACUGAGAAGAUUAAAGUCCGAUUAUGAUGCGAGUAGGCUGCUAGCAGAACACAAGCUUUCUGAAGAUUACAAAAAUGAGCUGGCACAUUUGAAGUGCGAGCUGGAGAAAGAGCACAUGGCUCAGGUUAAUGAGUUGAAGAAGGCUACUGAUGCCGCACUUCAGGAAAAGACACUACUGAAGGAAAAGCUGUCUGAGCUUGCCUCAGCCCAUGAAGAAAGCUUAAAGGAGAAGUUGAACGAAAUUGCUACACUUCAACAGCAUAACAAAGACCUUGUCACAGGACACAGCACAUUAGAAGGUGAACUAAGCAGUUAUAAAACCAACAUGCAGACAUUGCAGGAACAAUGUCAGAAGUUAACCAAAGAACGAGAAGAUGUCAGAAAGGAUGAAAGCCAAAGAUUAACGGAGUUACAUGCUGAGAGGGAUUCCUUACAGACGGAGCUUCGACAGCUCCAGUCCCAAUUAAAAGAGUCACAAAGUAGUGUACAAGACCUUGAAAACCAGAUACAAUCCGUAAAAUCUGUACAUGACCAGGAGAAGGAAUAUCUUGAGCAGAAACUGCAACAUGCGCUAAGUGAUGAAAGGCAUAAGUUUGAAGAAGAAAUACAACAACUAAGAAGUGUGCUUGAGAGCACUACCACGUCUCUACAGACAGAGAGGGAGAAAAUUGCAGAGUUGAAUGCUCAGUUGUCAUCCCUCAGGUUAGAGGGAGAGACCGUGUCAGAAGAGAGGGCUUCAGCACGUCUGCGGUGUACAGAACUGGAAGAUCAAUUGAGUGCACAGCUGCAGGCUCUCCAGUCGGCUGAAGAGCAAGUAACGGCACUGUCAUCACAGUACAAUUCCCUGCAGGAAGAAACACAGUUCCUCCACGAUGAACAGCGCAGACUAAGUGACCAUAUAAAGUUCCUAGAAGGCUGCCAGGAUGCGCUUAAGGCUGAGCUUCAGCAAGAACGAGAAGAAAAGUCAUCACUACAAGGAUCUCUCCAGAACGACAGUGAAGAGUUACGAAGGAUACAAAACGAAAGUGACAGCAUAAAGACUUGUCUUGAAGACGAAAUCAAACAGCUCAAAGGGGAAAUAUCCUCUUUGGAGCACAAGCUAGAUGACCUGACCAGUAGCAACACCUUGCUGCAGUGUCAGCACAAGGAACUGACGGUCGUCUCUAAAGCCGAGAGGGAAAAUCUCAAAGAAAUUCACAGCCAGUUGGAAGUUACCCAGGCAGAAAGAGACGCUCUCAACUCGAGGGUAGAAUACCUCACCGAGAAUGAGCAAGGUAUGAACCAGAGGAACGCAGCAUUAGAGAAGGAAGUUCAAGUUCUAAUAGCCACGGUGGAGGACCUUAAAAUGUCCUUGGUCCGAUUAGAGGACGAGAGGAACGGCCUUACCGCGGAGCUGGAUGCAACGAAAGGGCAGUUGCAGACCCUGCGAGUGGCUCACGAGGAUCAACUUCAGAGCAGCCUGAAAGAGAGGGAGACCUUUCAGAAGGCACUGGGUGAUCUGGAGAGCCAGUAUAACAUAGCAGUGGAGGAACAGAAAGCAGUGGAGCAAGAGGUGAAAGCCCUGAGAAGCAAAGACGAAGACGCAAAUCAUUAUUUGGAGGAGCACGACAAACUAGCAUGCAGAGUGGACGAACUUGAAGAAGAAAACAAGGCAUUACGUUGCGCACAUGAGGAGAGGAUGAAAUUAUUUGAGGACCAACUGGCUGAGAAGUCUAAAGAGAUAUUGUGCUAUACUGAAAAGCUUGCGCAGUCCGAGUUAUCCCAUGCAGCAGAAGUUGAGGAGUUACAUAAAGGGGCGAAGGAGAAGGAAGAGCAGUACAGGUCACAAAUUGACACACUGCAGCAGGAUUUGAAGACACGGACGGAACAGCUGGAUGAAAGCCUGAUUGUGGCUGAGGAAAGGGCUGCUCUAGCAGCAGUGCAGCUUCAGGAAGCUGUUCACAACGUAACAGCUCAAAGCGAUGCUGAGCUUGCGUCAACCAACAAAGAGCUUUCACAGAAAAUAUCCAGUCUUGAAGCAGAGCUAUCAAGGCAGAUGGCUGAGGCUAAGGGAAAGAUCCAAGAGCUGGAGGACACUCUUGCCGAAAAGGACAGUGCCAUUCACAGUCAAUUUAAAGAGGUGGCUCGCUCUUUUUCUUCCCAGCUGGAAGCACAGGAGGCUGAACAUGAUCAGUCUUUAUCAAAUGCAAUAGAUAAAGCCCAGCAGAUCGAGGCAAAGCUGGCAAUCGAGCACCGCCGUGAAAUGGAAGCGCUCGAGCAAGAGUUGGCCGAGAAAGUGAACGCACUGGAAGAGGUACACGAGCACUACCAGGAGCUUCUGAAGCAAAAGGAUGAGGAGCUCAAGACGCUCCGCAGCGAGACGGGCCGUCCCUCGGAGCCCGCGGAAGAUGGUGGAUGGGAUGAUGAGUGGCCGAAAAUAGAUGAGGAGGAAUGGAGUGGACCGUCAAGUGACCAUUCCCCGGCACACCAGAACCAAGCUAAAGGAAACAAGAACUACGAUAAAAGCACCGUUUACCUGCAGCAAAUAGAGACCCUGAAGUUGGCCAUUGGGAAGUACCAAGAUGAAAUUGGAGAUCUGCGGUGCAUUCUGGGAUCGCGGCAGAAUAACAAUGGAAGUCCAGCGUCGAAGAACUGCGUGAGGCUUCCGGAGCCCACCGAGUAUGAGUACUUGAGGAACAUACUCUUCGAGUAUAUGAUGGGGAAGGAGACUGUGACCCUAUGCAAAGUAAUAGCAGCAGUGCUGAAGUUUACAGAUGAGCAGACCAAUCAGAUCCUUCAGCGAGAAGCAGCGAAACAACAAGUCCAGGUACAGGAAAAGUAAAAAAUGAAAUCAUGAACACCAGGUGCACUGUUGUUUGGCUGAAGAGCUUUGGCACUUCAGUGGUCUCAGAGGUGAUUCUCAAGGUUACUUUUCAACACAGCUAAAAAUACUGAGCAGCAGGCUCAUGCUGCACUAUGCCGUACCAUUCCAACAAAUGUAAAUUACCGAUGUGUUCCGCAAAUAUUUAUAUAUAUAUGUAUAUGGAAAAUAUUAAGAUAGUUUAUAAGGAUGCAAUAAAGAUGGGUAUUCUA